UCCUGGGUGGCUCAGUCGGUUGAGCGUCUGACUUUGACUCAGGUCAUGAUCUCACAGUCCGUGAGUUCGAGCCCCACAUCAGGCU
rnacentral:tRNA from 1 species